rnacentral:rRNA from 1 species
CCUACGGGCGGCAGCAGUGGGGAAUAUUGCACAAUGGGGGAAACCCUGAUGCAGCGACGCCGCGUGAGUGAAGAAGUAAUUCGUUAUGUAAAGCUCUAUCAGCAGGGAAGAAAAUGACGGUACCUGAGUAAGAAGCCCCGGCUAACUACGUGCCAGCAGCCGCGGUAAUACGUAGGGGGCAAGCGUUAUCCGGAUUUACUGGGUGGAAAGGGAGCGUAGACGGCAGUGCAAGUCUGGAGUGAAAGGCGGGGGCUCAACCCCCGGACUGCUCUGGAAACUGUACGGCUGGAGUGCAGGAGAGGUAAGUGGAAUCCCUAGUGUAGCGGUGAAAUGCGUAGAUAUUAGGAGGAACACCAGUGGCGAAGGCGGCUUACUGGACUGUAACUGACGUUGAGGCUCGAAAGCGUGGGGAGCAAACAGGAUUAGAUACCCCUGUAGUC